rnacentral:lncRNA from 1 species
GUGCUCUCGUACAGUUGUGGAAUAAGUGAUUUUAAAAGGGUUUUCCUGCUUGGAAUUGUGUACAUUGGAUUUAGACUAUUGUGAUAAUUUCUAAAACCGCUGUCCUCCACGAUCGAAAAUGGCUGGAAAUCGGUGCCAAUCAUUUUAGCCAAUGCAAUAUCAAUUUGGCCUUGUUUUGCUGCAUAGACGUUGGCAUAAACUGGUCCAUUGAAGACUGCGUUGCUGUGGGUCGCGGUGUAGGCCUACUUGACUGAGUGGAUACAUCUCCACGUGUGGAGGUGGUGGCUCCACCACUAUCACUAGCAGGCCCGCUAGCUUCUUGAAGCUUCGCUACAGCUAGCUUCACAGUUGGGUGCACAGUUCGCAUAUGCCGGUGUAGGUUGUGCGUAGAACCGGCUUUAUAUGAGAUUUUGUUUUGGCAAAUUGUACACUGUGCUCUAACAAAUGCAUCCAAAUGCUACUGUGCUUCCAACUCAUUUUCCAGCUGUUGUUUUCACAGCUGUCCUUCCUCUCUCUCCUCGGCUGCUAAGUGUGUGACUGUGACAGUUGGCUCAGCCCUUCCUCGCGGUUCAUUGGUUGACAUUGCGUGUCUGAUUGACAGGAACAACAGGUAAAGCUGUUAAGUCUGAGCAGACAGUCAGAACGAAUGUGUGCACUUGAGUAUGUAGGCCUAUAUUCUUUUAUUUCUUUUUUCGUUCUUUGAAUUAGUUAAUUCUAUUCAUUUAAAAUCUUUUGAUUAUUCAUAUCUUCAUUUUUUUGUAAAUAGAUUAGGCUCUUCUGAUAUGCGAGCCGGCUCUUAGAGCCAACUUGUUCGUGAACGACCCAUCACUACUUGUCAGCCAUACUAGCCUCGAAGUCGCUCAUUUUAUCAUUACCCCCAGUAUAUUAAUAUAAUCAUAUUUCUAUAGAUUUUUGUAAUUCGAUUGGGUUCUGUCUUUUGUCUAUUUAGCUAGCAAACGUUACCUACCAGUACCUAGCUAACGUUAGUGCUAAGGACGUUAACAUUAUUAGUUGGUGCGGCAUCUUUAUUGAAAGUUAGGAAUUUAAGAAGAUUUCAUUGAACCUUAGUGGGCUUCGACGUCUAAAAAAGGGAGCAGUACCUUUGCUAUUCCAGUGGAAUAUUACCAUGUCCAAGAGAUCCUCAUGUCACUGAUGGGAAGCAUCAACUGCAUCUGGGCUGUGGCUUGCCUUCUCACAAAACUACCAGUUUAGGCCUCUUGUGAAGGCAUGGGCCAAGGAGCAAUGAGCUACUACUGCAAUGCAUCUUUCCUUUUUUUGCUGUGACCAUCCACAUUGUCUAACACCAGUAGUCCCUUUAUUGAUAAUAAACACCUCUGCUUAUACUCCAAACAAAAUGUUAUAAAGAGUUUUUAUUUACAGUGAUGAGAACAGAAACAUUUUACUGAAUUAUUUUAAAUUAUUAAUGAAUUGCACAGACAGAUGUUGAUUUGUUUCCCUUUCAUUAAUUGAAAGAUAAAGGAGCCUGUCCCUUGUUAUUUAGUCUUUCCUGCCUAAGAACUUUUGCAUGUACACAUAAGUAGUACCAGUCACCCUUCUCUCUAAUUAGUGAGAACACCGCUGGGUCUCUAUGUAUUCUCUCACCUGAAGAGACUAUGUGAAGCUGGUCUUCUUCAUUGAGCACAAGUGCAGCCUUGAAAGUUGCUCUCCAGUCUGUAGCCAUCCAGGGGCAGUAAAGGGAAUGGUGGUGUCUCCUUAUAGUGAACUAUGGUCACAUUGUGAUUGGAGGCUGCUGGUAAGACAGGAGGCUCUCCAACUAUACCCUUCCAAAGUGGGAGUCACCUAAAAGCUUUUCAGCCUUCAUCCCCAUGCUGCAGAUCAAUGGUUUGGAUAGAGGGUCAAAGUUCUUGUAUGCCUCUUCUAUCUGGAGAACUGAGAGGUCAGGGAGCGUUCCAAAAAGGGCGCUGUACUUCCGCAAAGCAGCCGCUGUGGUUAGCCAAUCUAAACAAUGUACUUGAAACCACCUGAAAUUAAAUAAUUUUAUAUAGUCAAAGUUUAAUAGGAUAUGACCAGCUACUACCUAUUAUACUGGCUAUUAGGGAAUACUCACCUAAUCCCUCCUUCUGCCAUGCGCUUUUUGGUGGCCUUGGUGAUGGUCAUUUUGCCUAUGGGCCCAGGUUGCAGACCCUGUAAAAAAUAAAGUACAAGGGCACUAUUCUAAAUCUAAUCAUGAGACGAUUUAAGUUUUCAUGAAAUAGUUUAUUAGCAUUGUGAUGGGAUUAUAACCAUAUGAUUUUGAUAUGUGGUAUAGCUAUUAAAACAUACCAUAGUCCUUGGCUUAUGCCACUGCUGCUCGGCCUCUGUGCAGCUGUGCACAGAUGGGAUGACUGGUGUUCCCAUCUUAGUGUGCAGACUGGAAUAGUAAUGCAACUGUGUGGUGAUGUGUCAUUGUUACUGGCUCAGAGGGCUUCAGUACAACCCACGCGGAGAUAUAAAAAGAAAAUGAUUAGACUAAAAAUCACUCAACGCAAACAGAAAUGACUGCCGCAACAUGCAACUAAAUUCAUUACAGCAAUACGGAUGUAAACUUUUCUAUUAACGGUAUAUGUCCUUGUUUAAUUGUAAUCUAAUGCGUCCAACAUAACAGAGCUCACAUAAACAGCAAGGAAAACAACUGAACAAUUACUACACUAAGAACGGUUUGAUAGACAUGGGUUAAGCCUAUUCAUAGACUAAGCAAUGCCUCUUAAUGCAGAUCUCCAUUGACAGGAACUCCUUAGUCUAAGACUAGGCUUCAUCUCUGACUGUGUAACCUGCAUAUAGUGUGUCACAAACACCUGCCUUUUCACCCUACACUCAAACUGUGUGGUUUCUAAUUUUUCCUCAUGGACCUAUAGCAGCAAGCCCUUAUGCUGACCUCUCCUGUCACGUUGGCCCUGUUCGAAGCUGUUUUGGAAUAAAAAGAAAGAGCAAUCAUAUUAGCUAGCUACUGUAAAAGGCAUGUCUUAAACUACGUUACAGCUUUGAGUAAACGUCCUUGUCUGAUCUGAUAGGCAACUUGGCUAUACUUACCUUCGUAGUUGAAAAGGUAACUGGACACAAAGUUUGAAUCCUUGUUUUUAACUUGGAGUUCGGUGCUUUGCUACUUAUCUUGGCCAGACGAUGUACAUCCGUCAAUGUGAUCUUUGGUAGCUUUUACGAGCGUCCUGAGUAAAGCAGUGCCAUGAUUGGUAGGGGAGGGAGGCGUUGGCUAAUUGCGAGUCACCUUACUAGUUAGAAUGUUAAUAGCUAGCUAGCGAAGAGACCAAAAAAGACACAGAACAAAAUAAUCGAAUUACAAAAAUCCCUAACUGAAGGGAUAAACAUAAUUUUCAACAAGAAUUAUAACAAUAAAAAAACGCUAUAAAAAUAUGAUUAUAUUAAUAUACUGAGAUAAUAAAACGAGGGACUUCGAAGCUGCUAUGGCUACAAUCAGGCUGACAGGACGUGAUCGGGACAGGAAGCUAUGUAUCGG